rnacentral:rRNA from 1 species
AACGAACGCUGGCGGCAUGCCUAACACAUGCAAGUCGAACGAGACCUUCGGGUCUAGUGGCGCACGGGUUCGUAACGCGUGGGAACCUGCCCUUAGGUUCGGAAUAACUCCCCGAAAGGGGUGCUAAUACCGGUUAAUGUCUUCGGACCAAAGAUUUAUCGCCUUUGGAUGGGCCCGCGUUGGAUUAGCUAGUUGGUAGGGUAAAAGCCUACCAAGGCGACGAUCCAUAGCUGGUCUGAGAGGAUGAUCAGCCACACUGGGACUGAGACACGGCCCAGACUCCUACGGGAGGCAGCAGUGGGGAAUAUUGGACAAUGGGCGAAAGCCUGAUCAAGCAAUGACGCGUGAGUGAUGAAGGCCUUAGGGUUGUAAAGCUCUUUUAACCGGGAUGAUAAUGACAGUACCGGGAGAAUAAGCUCCGGCUAACUCCGUG